rnacentral:rRNA from 1 species
AGUGAACGCUGGCGGUAGGCCUAACACAUGCGAGUCGAACGGCAGCACAGUAAGAGCUUGCUCUUACGGGUGGCGAGUGGCGGACGGGUGAGGAAUACAUCGGAAUCUACUUUUUCGUGGGGGAUAACGUAGGGAAACUUACGCUAAUACCGCAUACGACCUACGGGUGAAAGCAGGGGAUCUUCGGACCUUGCGCGAUUGAAUGAGCCGAUGUCGGAUUAGCUAGUUGGCGGGGUAAAGGCCCACCAAGGCGACGAUCCGUAGCUGGUCUGAGAGGAUGAUCAGCCACACUGGAACUGGGCCACGGUCCAGACUCCUACGGGAGGCAGCAGUGGGGAAUAUUGGACAAUGGGCGCAAGCCUGAUCCAGCCAUACCGCGUGGGUGAAGAAGGCCUUCGGGUUGUAAAGCCCUUUUGUUGGGAAAGAAAAGCAGCAGGUUAAUACCCCGCUGUUCUGACGGUACCCAAAGAAUAAGCACCGGCUAACUUCGUG